GCGAAACCGGCCAAAUCAGACUCCGGAUCUGAAGGUCGCGCGUUCGAAUCGCCCCGGGCGCACCA
rnacentral:tRNA from 1 species